UGUGGCUGGCCUGGCUCGCCUCGUGGCGUGGGGGCGAAAAGGGACAGGCGGCGGAGCGCUUACCGGCUGUGGACAGGAGCUGCCCUAAGGGAAGCUGGAAUGGCCAGAGAAAGGUGAAGAAGAAGAAGAAGAGAUGGAGGCUCUCCGGCCGGCAGCUGCCUCCCGCUGCAGGCAAGAGAGCGCCUGCCUCGCCGGGCGGAGGACAGCCGAGCGACCGGAGUGACAGCAAAGGAAAGGCGGAGAGCGGGAGAAAGAAGCGUCUGCGCUGGCAAGCUCUCCCGGCAGUGCCGAGAGCCAGAGCUGCGGUGCUGCUGUGCUGAUGCUCCAUACAUUCGCAGUAAUGGGUAGAGCGGAAGGCUCCGUGGCCAGGGAAGAGCGGCACGGACACAUUCCUGCUUGCUCCGUUGCACUGGAAUUGCGAUGGCUGGGUUCGGCCGCUAAAUUGAUGGCGCUACCGGAAGAAAUUUC